rnacentral:rRNA from 1 species
GAUGAACGCUAGCGGCAGGCCUAACACAUGCAAGUCGAGGGAGAAGCCCUUUCGGGGGCAGAAACCGGCGCACGGGUGCGUAACGCGUAUGCAACCUACCUUUCACAGGGGGAUAGCCCGAAGAAAUUUGGAUUAAUACCCCAUAAUAUUGUUGGAUGGCAUCAUCUGGCAAUUAAAGCUACGACGGUGAAAGAUGGGCAUGCGUCCUAUUAGCUAGUUGGAGUGGUAACGGCACCCCAAGGCUACGAUAGGUAGGGGUCCUGAGAGGGAGAUCCCCCACACUGGUACUGAGACAGGGACCAGACUCCUACGGGAGGCAGCAGUGAGGAAUAUUGGUCAAUGGUCGGAAGACUGAACCAGCCAUGCCGCGUGCAGGAAGAAUGCCUUAUGGGUUGUAAACUGCUUUUAUAUGGAAGAAUAAGGUGUACGUGACAUG